rfam:Bosea sp. RAC05, complete genome.
ACCCGGGUCCGGGCCCCUCUGGCAGCGACGCUGCGAUGUCGGACUCUUCCA